UAAAAAAGACGAUAAAAAA
rnacentral:sRNA from 1 species